rnacentral:misc_RNA from 1 species
CAACCCUCAUGCCCUAGCGGCGUGGUGUUGGGGCUCGGCCUGAACUUGCUUCGGGCCGUCCCCUAAAUCUAGUGGCGGACCCGCCGUGGCCUCCUCUGCGUAGUAGUAAUAUUUCGCAUGUGGAGAGCGGCGAGACCCUGCCGUAAAACCCCAACUUCUCAA